rnacentral:tRNA from 1 species
CCGUCGGUAGCUCAGUUGGUAGUAGCGGUGGACUGUAGACUUUAAUCGCAAUAGGUAUCCAUAGGUCGCUGGUUCAAUUCCGGCCCGACGGA